rnacentral:lncRNA from 1 species
AGAGCAUAACUCUUAAAAAAACAUAAUUUUGUUAAAAAGCAUAACUAUUUAAAUGCCUUAAUUUUAAUUUCUCUGUCCUCACUCACUUGGCAAAUUCACGCUCUGAGACUCCUCCCAAACUCUCCUCCCAAAUUCAAUACAAUCCCCCUCGUUUCUUCUCUCUCGUCACAUGUUAUCAGCCAAACCAACCCCUCUUCCGAUUCACUCUCUCGUUUACUCUUUUGGUUGACAAACUCCCCUAGUUCGAAAAUUUUGUCUGAUCUCUUGGUUGACAAACACCCGGAUCUGGGCGUCUCAACUUCGAUUCGGUGAGAGCUUAACUAAUUACUCUCCUAAAUUCGUCCAAUCUCUCAAUUUUUUUCGCCGAUCUGCUAAGGUAAAACCCUGUAUGCCCCAUCUUUUGUUUGCUAAUUUGAUAUCUGUAUUUACAUGUACCUUGUAUGUGGUUUUUUGGGUGAGUGUUUUUAAUUGUUCUGCCAUUAAGGUGUAAUUUUUGUUUUCUCUUGGUUGAAGCUUUUGGUUGAUUAGAAAGUUCGCCCUUGAAUUUUUUCAAUUGAGUUUAGUGAAAUGAACUGUAAUUUGCUUUUCAUUUUGUAUGUGUGUGUAAAAUUGAAGCCUUAUGGAAACAAGAUUGGGGCAGAGGAGAACAGGGGUGGGGUAUUAUUGAUAUGUAAUAUGGAAAGGGCAAUGGAUGUUUGUAACUCAUGUGUUAUAUUCUGUUUUUUUUUAAGACUGGAUUAUAGUUUUGCUAUUAUUAGUAUCAAAAAAAGAAACAAAUAAUUGAUAUUUUAAACAAAUAUUUUCAAUUUCAUUAAGAGUUAACUAGAAUUCAGUUUCAUUUUGUUAUUCGAUUUGGAAUUUUUGCAUUUGGGAAUUAGCCCUAAUUUCUUAGUUUAUUUAUUUAUUUAAUUUUUUGUUUUUUGGUGGACUGUGAACUACAUGCUUGUUUGUGGGUUGAUUUUUUUGGUUUAUCUAGUUGUUUGGUCACCUUUUUUUAGAAUUAGAAUUUCAAUGUGUUGAAUGGAUCUAUUAGUGUUGGGUUUGUCUUGUAGUCUGGAUUGUUGAUGGGCUCUGAUAAUUUGAUGUUAUUUGCUAUUAAUUCAGAGAUUAUAAGGGUUUACUCCAUUAUAAUAAUGUUUCAACUGGGUUUUGGUUAUAGCUAUUGUUAAGUUUGAUAAUUUUGUGUUUUUUAGUUUUUGGGUUUAAUUAAUGUGGUUAUUGAUUAACACAACAGGUUCAAUACUUUUUCAUAUUGUUUUGAUUGUUAGUGAACAUACUGGUAUUUGGUGUUAUUGACUUAUAAUUUAGUGAUCAUCAAAGGGUUUAAUAUGGGUAGUAUUUUGGUUUCUUAUUGAUUGGAUAUGUUUCACCUCAUGAAUUAAACUGCAUAUGCAGCCAAAACUAUUGGGCCUUUGUACAAUUGACUGGUUUAGAAUUUGGUAUGUGUGAGAAUUGUUAUUUAUUUUGUUGAUGUGUUUGAUCUAAGUAUUUUUGAUCCUUUGAUUGGUGAUGUAAUGUUAAAUCUUAUUAGACAUUUUCAUAUAUAACAACUUAUUAAUACAUAUAAGUAUCUUUAUCUCAAGACUGAAAGUAUAUAAAGGAAUUUAAGUCAUGCUAAGACUGAUAAAGGUCACAUCUUUAAAGUAUAAGUUGAACCUUCAUGUCUACUUAUCAGCUUAUGAAUUUUCCAUUAAUUAUUCUCAAAUCUUGCUACAUUAUGUAAUCUGAGUUAUAACACAUGAAGCAGGCUGCGCGACAUAGUUUUAUAGGACUAAAUGUUUUAGCCUAUUGGUUUGUUCCUUGCACAAAUGCAAUGAAAGUUGUGAUUGCAACUCAGUAUGUUAAAAUUCUUAAUUGAUUUGUAUAUACGUCACUUGAAUAUCGUGAUACCAAUUCGUGAUUGUUGUUUCAUUUAUGAGUAGGUUUUAUGGUCGAAAACAAAUCUCGGGAGACGAUUUGGUAAGAAUAUUGUGGAAUCUGGUGUAGCUUGCAGCGUCAAAGAUACGGGAAUUCAAGGCCAUUUUGGAAUGAAUAUAUUUCUGUAGUUCCACCGGAAGUGUCAUCUAUUUGAUAAGAGAGCAAUGUACAAUGAAAAACUGGUCAACUUGUCUAGCAUUUAUUUAACUUGUUUUUUCAUUCAAGUAUCAUUUAUUGUAUUUCACUUCAAAUGAAAUAAAUAGAGAAAUUCUCUCUUCUUCCCAAUAUCCUGCAUCCUCUUAAUUGUUGUCUCUUGUUAUUAUAGAACUGUUUGUAAUUAUAAAGAUUAUGUAGAAAUGUGGGUAGAUUUGCUAGCUACAUCAUGUAAAUAUUAACAAGCGC